GCAAGUCGAACGAGAACGCUUUAGCUUGCUAAAGCUAGUAAAGUGGCGCACGGGUGAGUAACGCGUGGGUAAUCUACCCUCGAAUUUGGGAUAACAUUGCGAAAGUGAUGCUAAUACCGGAUGAUAUCAUAAAGACUUCGGUUUUUUUGAUCAAAGGUGGCCUCUACAUGUAAGCUACUGUUUGGGGAUGAGCCCGCGUACCAUUAGCUAGUUGGUAGGGUAAUGGCCUACCAAGGCACCGAUGGUUAGCUGGUCUGAGAGGAUGAUC
rnacentral:rRNA from 1 species